CGAGUGACGUGUUUUCCAGAGGCAUUCCAAACCUCCCACCCAAGGAGCUUCACAGCCGUGUUCAUAUAGCACUUACCCGUCCUGCGCAUCAUAAUCCUGUCUGAGCUAAGGGCUCUUUGUCUUUGCCAAGUGGCACGCGUCGGGGGCUGGUUACCGCAGGAACAUGCUGGCACUCUGCCAUUCCCAAGCCACCGCCAACUUCCCAGCGGCAUACGGCGAUGCAGAGAUCCGGGCACUCUGCUGAAGAUUGGUGCUUGCCAACGAGAAUAACAAGACAAGUCGCAUAUCUCCAUUAUGACAAAGCAGAUGCCGUUGUACCCGCGUCGAGUGGCAUCGACACCAGGGCAUGUGCUGCUUACUCUCUAGGGGACGUGCCUACUUGGAGCCUGGCACGGUCUCGAAGGAGAUGGUGAAACGCAGGAUGACGAAGCCUGUAGAAACCAAAAUUAGAGAUCUGCGGUUUUCUGAAACAACAAGAGGAUAAAAGGUUUGUUAAGAGGCACCGCAUCAGUUUAUCGCAAUGCAUUGUACGCUCAGAUUUGCAUACUCGUAGAGUUGCCAUGCUGAUGAGCUGGUGGACGGAUCUUCAAAGAACUCCAACUUUUGAUGCUCGGGAACAUUUUCUUUGGAGAAUUGACAGGAGGCCACUUCCUGUCAGUGUACACUUGUUCCCGAUGCCAUCUGCAGUGCCCUUCGGACUGAGCGGAUGCACUUCCUGCUAUUUUAAAAGCCAGAUAUGAGAAGUUUGCUUUAGCAGGAUGCUGCUGGGGGAACAGAACAUAUCAGAU